rnacentral:lncRNA from 1 species
CAACAAUUUAACUCUUUAAAAUACAAUACUAAUAUCAACUGGCAAGCAAGAAACAGGUGAUUCAUUUCAUCCAUUUAGCAUAACAACAGAGUACAGAGUCACAGACAUCUAGUUUCUGCAAUCUGUAAAAGAAUGUAAAUAAAUAAAAUUAAAAAAAAAACCCAAAUUGAACCCGUGGACCCGUAGGAACCAACCCACUUCAAACGGACAGGGUUAGGUCCAGUUCUUAAGUAUUUUUUUUAUUACCCAGCCCGGCCGCCCUGUACAAUUUUCAAAUAGGUCCAGUCCAGUUGGACAAUGUAUUGGUACUUUUUUUUUAAAAAAAACAGUUGGACAAUAUAUUGGUACUAGAAAGCAAUAACUUAAAUCAAAACAAACUUUAUGACUUACUAAUUGUAAGUUUACAAAUGUCAUCAAAAUAAUAAGUAAAUAAAGUUACAAACAUAAUCUUCACUAAAUAAUCAAAAGCACGUCAAUCUUAAGCAACCAAAUAAGAAAAAAAAAACUUCAAAAACUCUAACUUUAAAGUUUCAUUUGAAUAUAUAGCAUUAUUAUAAAAUAAAAUUGAAAAGAAAAUCGGUUUUUAAGGUAUUAUUGGCAAUCCUAAUAUCUCAUUGUGCAUUCCUAAUUUUUAUAUUUAGAAAGAAACAAAAUUUACACUUAAAAGAAGUGCACUAUGAAAUUUUGAAGUACUAACAAAAGUAAUUUUUUUUAAUAUAUAAGAAGUGCUAAUAAAAAUAAUUUCUUAGGAGCCCCUUCAAAUUUAGUGGCCAUGUACGAUUGCACCUUUUACUCCUCCUCAAUGCCACCUCUAGCUGCAUGCUCACUGGCGAUACAUAAGCAACAGUAACCAAAUAUGAAAUAUGCACUAAUCGUAUUGCCUAUAUAUAACACCUAACCCCCCCCCCCCCCUCCCUACAAACGCCUCAUCUCUCUCUUCAUUGUAAAUUUUAAUAUGGCAUGGGUGACUUAGAAAAUGAUGUUCAUGGACUUGGUUUCUAACAAAAUUGAGAGUUUCCAUUGAAGGUGUUUUGUAUUUGAUCGGUAUGGAGCAUCGGUAAAGCUCUGCAAAAACUUCUAGAGGCACAUUCUAUCUUUAACGCCAAAUAGCAAAAAAGGCAUGAUUGCAAAUAAUUUUAGUCAUUAAAGAUAUAUUAGUACUUUUACAUCAAUUUUUAGUUAUAUUUACAAUAAAUUUAAAAGAGUGGUUAUAAUUCUAUAUAGGGUCCAAAUUUUGGCUAUUUUUCUAAAUUUUCCCUCAAUAAUUUAUUAGUUUUAUGUUAUAUAAUUAAACUACUUUUGAAUGUUUUCAAAUUUGGCCGUUGAAUUUGAAUCAAUAAUUGAAACUAAGUAGCUAGGCCCAAAAAAAAGGACUAAGGCCAUCUCCAACCGAAAGGGUUAA